rnacentral:rRNA from 1 species
GACGAACGCUGGCGGCGUGCUUAACACAUGCAAGUCGAACGGAAAGGCCCUGCUUUUGUGGGGUGCUCGAGUGGCGAACGGGUGAGUAACACGUGAGUAACCUGCCCUUGACUUUGGGAUAACUUCAGGAAACUGGGGCUAAUACCGGAUAGGAGCUCCUGCUGCAUGGUGGGGGUUGGAAAGUUUCGGCGGUUGGGGCUGGACUCGCGGCUUAUCAGCUUGUUGGUGGGGUAGUGGCUUACCAAGGCUUUGACGGGUAGCCGGCCUGGGAGGGUGACCGGCCACAUUGGGACUGAGAGACGGCCCAGACUCCUACGGGAGGCAGCAGUGGGGAAUAUUGCACAAUGGGCGGAAGCCUGAUGCAGCAACGCCGCGUGCGGGAUGACGGCCUUCGGGUUGUAAACCGCUUUCGCCUGUGACGAAGCGUGAGUGACGGUAAUGGGUAAAGAAGCACCGGCUAACUACGUG